UACGGAGGGUGCAAGCGUUAUCCGGAUUUACUGGGUUUAAAGGGUGUGUAGGCGGGCUUUUAAGUCAGUGGUGAAAUCUCCGGGCUCAACCUGGAAACUGCCAUUGAUACUAUUAGUCUUGAAUUUUGUUGAGGUAGGCGGAAUAAGUCAUGUAGCGGUGAAAUGCAUAGAUAUGACUUAGAACACCAAUUGCGAAGGCAGCUUGCUAAACAAAUAUUGACGCUGAGGCACGAAAGCGUGGGGAUCAGACAGG
rnacentral:rRNA from 1 species